rnacentral:rRNA from 1 species
UUGAACGCUGGCGGCAUGCCUUACACAUGCAAGUCGAACGGCAGCACGGGAGCUUGCUCUUGGUGGCGAGUGGCGAACGGGUGAGUAGUAUAUCGGAACGUACCCAGUGGUGGGGGAUAACGCAGCGAAAGCUGCGCUAAUACCGCAUACGCUCUCUGGAGGAAAGUGGGGGACUCGCAAGGGCCUCACGCUAUUGGAGCGGCCGAUAUCUGAUUAGCUAGUUGGUGAGGUAAAGGCUCACCAAGGCAUCGAUCAGUAGCUGGUCUGAGAGGACGACCAGCCACACUGGAACUGAGACACGGUCCAGACUCCUACGGGAGGCAGCAGUGGGGAAUUUUGGACAAUGGGCGAAAGCCUGAUCCAGCAAUGCCGCGUGAGUGAAGAAGGCCUUCGGGUUGUAAAGCUCUUUUGUCAGGGAAGAAACGGUAUGGGCUAAUAUCCCGUACUAAUGACGGUACCUGAAGAAUAAGCACCGGCUAACUACGUGCCAGCAGCCGCGGUAAUACGUAGGGUGCAAGCGUUAAUCGGAAUUACUGGGCGUAAAGCGUGCGCAGGCGGUUUUGUAAGUUUGUCGUGAAAGCCCCGGGCUCAACCUGGGAAUUGCGAUGAAGACUGCAAGGCUUGAAUCUGGCAGAGGGGGGUAGAAUUCCACGUGUAGCAGUGAAAUGCGUAGAGAUGUGGAGGAACACCGAUGGCGAAGGCAGCCCCCUGGGUCAAGAUUGACGCUCAUGCACGAAAGCGUGGGGAGC